UACGUAGGGUGCGAGCGUUGUCCGGAAUUAUUGGGUACGUAAAGAGCUUGUAUGGCGGUUUGUCGCGUCAUGCUGUGAAAAAUCCGGGGCUCAACCCCGGACUUGCAGUGGGGUACGGCAGACUGGAGUGUGGUAGGGGAGACUGGAAUUCCUGGUGUAGCGGUGAAAUGCGCAGAUAUCAGGAGGAACACCGGUGGCGAAGGCGGGGUCUCUGGGCCGAUACUGACGCUGAGGAGCGAAAGCGUGGGGAGCGAACAGG
rnacentral:rRNA from 1 species